rnacentral:ncRNA from 1 species
GAAAAUGCUGAGACAGGGAGUAGUACACAUCUUUAAGCUAGAAGAGGAUUUCCCGGACUUUGUGAACAUCCUCUACAAGAGAGAGAAGCUGAUGCGCUGAAAAGCUUCUUUAGCCGCCGGAGUGGAAGUAGCCCUCGAGCAGUCUUUCUGAAAGAUUGAUUAACGAUCAAGUAGGAAAGUCCGGAUUUCCGUUAUCGAUUCAAUAAGGCGUGUUUCCUGCACGCGAAUAAAGGUGGUACCACGGAGCUUUCUUCGUCCUUGUG